UUCGCAAUGCCCGAAAGGGUGACGAAGCGACGCCGCGUGUGGGAAGAAGGCCUUCGGGUUGUAAACCACUGUCGGGAGUUAAGAAAUGCAAGGGUGUUAAUAGCGCCCUUGCUUGACUAAGGCUCCGGAGGAAGCCACGGCUAACUCUGAGCCAGCAGCCGCGGUAAUACAGAGGCGGCAAGCGUUGUUCGGAAUUAUUGGGCGUAAAGAGCACGUAGGCGGCCUUGUAAGUCAGUUGUGAAAGCCUUCUGCUCAACGGAAGAACAGCAUCUGAUACUGCAAGGCUAGAGUGCGGAAGGGGAGAGUGGAACUUCUGGUGGAGCGGUGAAAUGCGUAGAUAUCAGAAGGAACACCGGCGGCGAAGGCGACUCUCUGGCCCGUAACUGACGCUGAGUGUGCGAAAGCUAGGGGAGCAAACGGGAUUAGAUACCCCGGUAGUCCUAGCCGUAAACGAUGGGCACUAAGUAGAGGGGUUUU
rnacentral:rRNA from 1 species